CUGCCUUCGAGGAAAUCUAAUUAUCUAGGUAGUAUGGAAAAGCACGCAAAUUAUAUAACUAUUUGGGUAUACUCAUGCUCUGCUAUGUCAGAUUGAGGAGAAAUAAUUAUUUUGUUCACCCAUCUUAUUUUUUCCGAGGUAAUGACUCAUGCUCUACUAUGUCAGACUGAGUGACUUCUGCAUAUGAUGACUGAAGAAUUUUUCAUCAAUUUUCCAACCUGAAUUAGCUACAGAAUUUGGGAAAAGAGGAGUCCAGGCUCUGAUGAACACACCGUCUUUCCUAGGUAACUAAUAGUUGGCAUCUCUACAUUUACAUUAUAUCAGGCCAGCACCACAAAGUCCCUGUAUGUGUCUGCCUGCCUACAUUGAUGGGCGAUCCGGUCGCAAAAAAGUGGAUAAAAAAUAUACAUCAGUUUGUGAAAAUACAUGUUGGUUAUCUCACGAACGAUUAUAGCUAUUACCAGAGUACAAGCAAAUAUGUUACAAUUUUUCCUUGAAGGAGACUUGUAUUAUGAUUAUUACAUUUUGAUCUUGGAGCUAUGGUCGACUUUAGUAGAUGGUUACUUCAGUCUGCACAAGUCAAAUAUUUUCUAAUUACAUGUCUGAGCACCAUCGGGAUAACCUGAUUACUAUGUCACAAGCUUGCUAUUUCUAUUUAUGCAAAUUCUGUAGUUAUUUCAGUGUUUUGCAUGAUGCAUAAGUUUUUUCACAACAGAAAGAAGUGGAUGUACAACUUGAUUCUGCUUUAUUAUUUAAGUACCAGUUGACUUUGUAAAUCCCAGUUUCUCCAGUAUUGUAACUGUCAAAUCGUCAAUUUAACCUGAUUUUUAUCUUUGGACAGCUUGCAAUUUGCAAUAUUAUGAUUUUCCUUUUGCAGAAACCACUUCAACUAGCCCAGGACUGUGUCUAUUAGUCCUCCAGUAUUUGUUGAGAUGAGAUAACACAUUGUAUGACAGGUAACAAGCAACUGAAGCAAGAAGAUUUUUUAAAUUUCUUGGAAAGUAUAACCAUCUUAACCCAGGAUGCAUGAUGAAGGAUCCAAUAUGUCAGGACCAACGAGGGAAUUGCAAUAUGUCAGAACCAAUGAGAGAAUUGUAGAGCUUUACAUUAAGUUUAUUUUAGCUGCUUGCCCGCUUCAAGUGUCUAGAUUACAGGAAACAUGUUUCUUUAAGUGACAAACCUGGAUACCAAUUUAUUCAAACUAUUAUAUUUCUUAUAGAAGUAAUGCAAUAUAUUUUCUCUCUUGUGCCUAUUUGAAAUACUGUUGUGG
rnacentral:lncRNA from 1 species